rnacentral:rRNA from 1 species
AGUGAACGCUGGCGGUAGGCCUAACACAUGCAAGUCGAACGGCAGCACAGUAAGAGCUUGCUCUUACGGGUGGCGAGUGGCGGACGGGUGAGGAAUACAUCGGAAUCUACUUUUUCGUGGGGGAUAACGUAGGGAAACUUACGCUAAUACCGCAUACGACCUACGGGUGAAAGCAGGGGAUCCUCGGACCUUGCGCGAUUGAAUGAGCCGAUGUCGGAUUAGCUAGUUGGCGGGGUAAAGGCCCACCAAGGCGACGAUCCGUAGCUGGUCUGAGAGGAUGAUCAGCCACACUGGAACUGAGACACGGUCCAGACUCCUACGGGAGGCAGCAGUGGGGAAUAUUGGACAAUGGGCGCGAGCCUGAUCCAGCCAUACCGCGUGGGUGAAGAAGGCCUUCGGGUUGUAAAGCCCUUUUGUUGGGAAAGAAAAGCAGCAGGUUAAUACCCCGCUGUUCUGACGGUACCCAAAGAAUAAGCACCGGCUAACUUCGUG